GACGUAGGGCGCGAGCGUUGUCCGGAUUUAUUGGGCGUAAAGAGCUCGUAGGCGGCUUGUCGCGUCGAAUGUGAAAACCCACGGCUCAACUGUGGGCUUGCAUUCGAUACGGGCAGGCUAGAGUUCGGUAGGGGAGACUGGAAUUCCUGGGUGUAGCGGUGAAAUGCGCAGAGUAUCAGGAGGAACACCGGUGGCGAAGGCGGGUCUCUGGGCCGAUGACUGACGCUGGAGGAGCGAAAGCGUGGGGAGCGAACAGG
rnacentral:rRNA from 1 species